rnacentral:tRNA from 1 species
GGUGGCUCAGAGGUAGAGUGCUUGCCUUGCAUGCAGGAGGCCCUAGGUUCAAUUCCUCAGCACCG